rnacentral:rRNA from 1 species
UACGUAGGGUGCAAGCGUUAAUCGGAAUUACUGGGCGUAAAGCGUGCGCAGGCGGUUUUGUAAGUCUGUCGUGAAAUCCCCGGGCUCAACCUGGGAAUUGCGAUGGAGACUGCAAGGCUAGAAUCUGGCAGAGGGGGGUAGAAUUCCACGUGUGAGCAGUGAAAUGCGUAGAGAUGUGGAGGAACACCGAUGGGCGAAGGCAGCCCUCGGUCGGAU